UACGAAGGGGCUAGCGUUGCUCGGAAUCACUGGGCGUAAAGCGCACGUAGGCGGCUUUUAAGUCAGGGUGAAAUCCUGGAGCUCAACUCCAGAACUGCCUUUGAUACUGGGAAGCUUGAGUCCGAAGAGGUGAGUGGAACUCGAGUGUAGAGGUGAAAUUCGUAGAUAUUCGGAAGAAACACCAGUGGCGAAGGCGGCUCACGUGGUCCGGUACGUGACGCUGAGGUGCGAAAGCG
rnacentral:rRNA from 1 species